UACGAAGGGGGCUAGCGUUGCUCGGAAUCACUGGGCGUAAAGCGCACGUAGGCGGCUUCUCAAGUCAGGGGUGAAAUCCUGGAGCUCAACUCCAGAACUGCCUUUGAUACUGAGAGGCUCGAGUCCGGGAGAGGUGAGUGGAACUGCGAGUGUAGAGGUGAAAUUCGUAGAUAUUCGCAAGAACACCAGUGGCGAAGGCGACUCACUGGCCCGGUACUGACGCUGAGGUGCGAAAGCGUGGGGAGCAAACAGG
rnacentral:rRNA from 1 species